AACCAAAUACAAAUCAAACAAAUCCAACCUAAAGGAAACUUGCUCUUACUGAACUUAGUGACCCACUCCCUAUCUAUAGCUUUAGCCUUUUUAGGCAUUACAAGAGAAAGUCUAAACUGAAUCUCUCUAACAACUCUUUGUACAGUAUUAUCUACAUGCCAAACUUUAUUGCUCCAAAAAACAUCAUUUCUCACUCUCCAUAGAUGAUACACGAGAGCUGCAAGAACAGAGUAAAGGAUGCUCUUCCGAACAACACUCAAUCUCUUAGCUUUGUGAGUCCAACGGAAAAGGUGCUCCAGGUUUAAGGAAGCUGAAUUCCAACCCAAACUUUGCUUGAUCUUCUGCAAACAGGAACUGCUAUAUUGACAGUGAAAAAAGAGAUGACCAAUACUCUCAAUAUCACCUCCACAAAGCAGACAAGAUUGGUCUAUUAAUGGCUGAAACUUGUGCAAUUGCUCUCUAGUACGAAGCCUCUGCAACAUGACCAGCCAAAGCAUAAAUCUAUGCUUCGGAAUGCUCAGCCUAUCCCAAACAACUUUGCUCCAGUUAACUGCAACAGGAUGCUCAAACAGCAGAUCAUGACCAGCUUUAAUACUAUACCUCAUCCCUGCAAAUUUAGACAGCUCAAUCUUAACUUUGAAAGCAUUUUUGACAGCAACCAACCGCUUCCAGUACCAACUGCAAUCUAAAGGCACCUGGUACUCCCACCAGGUUUUACUUUAUAUCAACAGAUUCUAGCAUUGUCGCUCGUGGAUUUUAUCGUUGUCUUGGCUUGUUCUAUGUGUGCAUUAUGCAUUUUAAGUUCAAUCAACACUGAUGGAAUAGUCGGAGUUAGUUCCUAGUGAUGUUGAUAUUAGAGUUGGUGAAGUUGGUGGUGCAUCUGCUUAUGAGAAUAUUGCUCAGAAUGUGUUUAAUUAUGAGAAGAAAUCUUCUGAAGAUGUAGAGAAUACUUCCAAGGUGGUUGACGUUGGUGAUGAGAUUGGUGAAGUUCUUCAUAUGAGGAGUAAUAUUACUCAUGUGAUGUCUGUAGCAAGGAAGAAGAGUAAAUCUCUUGCAAAAGUGAAACAAAAGGGUAAAUCGUCUGCAUCUGGAAGUAAGGACGUUAAAUUUGAUGCAACGGGAAGUAAGGAUGCUAAAUUUGAUACCACUGAGACAAAGCAUGUUGUGGUAUGGUUUUUUGUUUGUUUUAUUUUUUAAAAAAUAACAAAAAAAAGUUCAUAUGGUGUUGUUAAUGUAACCGAGUUCACAUUUUGUGUUUGUGUUUGUUUUUUAUCGUUUGUCAUUUUUCGUAAAAUGUUUAUGUUUCACAGCUACUGGUUACAUGUGUAACUAGUUAUACCAUUAGGGGUUCCUACUAUAAUUUACUUAGACAAGAUAUCGAAUUAAUAAACCCAUCAAUUUUUCACAUGGAUUUGGAUGACUUACAAUCCACACUGUGUGACUUAUGAUCAUAAAUGAUAGAUUGUCAGAUCAAUUAACUCGAAGGUUAAUCUAGUAACUUAUAACAGUAAAUGCCUUAAGAUACAAUCCAUGAUGCAUACUAUCUCUACUUCAAAAAUCUCUGAAGGAAGGUUUUAGAAGAAAUUUUUUGAUAAUAAACACUGAUAUUUUAUUGCUUCGUAA